AUGCCCUGGCAGCAUCAGCAAACCCCCCUCUGCCUGCUGCUGCUGCCGGCGGCGCUGCUCGCACCCGAACCAGGCUUUCAUCUCCUCGCAACCCCAGCUAUCUCAGUUUGUUCCCAUUGCCCUGUUUGCGCGCGUGGCUUCGCCUGUGCAGGCUGCGGGGCUGCUCCUGGGUGCCCUUUCUCCGGGCAUUGCUGCCUGAGGCCACAGGAAGGGCUCAGGAUCCCUUGGCAGCCGUGCCGCCACCGGCACGUCGCAGUGACCAAAACGCAGUGCGGCACGUCUCUGGCGAGAGGUUUUGAGGCUCAGUACCCGAAGCGGGCAGAGCAUCUCCAGCAGGAGCCGGGGGGCAGGUGCGGCAGGAGCAGAUCGAAGCGGAUCCACCUCGGUCCCAUGGAUGAUCCAUCCCCGAGAGGCUGCGAGGCGCUGGCUCGGCCAUGCAGGAUCCGUCCCGUCUGCGGCGCUCCCAGCUCAGAGGCACCAUCUGCUGGGAAACCUCCCAGCCCGGAGCCACAGCUGCUGCGGGGCGCAGGAGCCAGCCGAGACCGGAGGAAGCGCAUCUCCCCCAAAACAGGCUGGUUUUGCCCCAGAGAUCGGGCCAGGAAAGCACCACCCCGCUGCUGGGGCCAGGAGCAGCAGCAGCAUCCGUACAGACCCGGGCUCCCAGCCCCGUGGAGCUCCCCUCCCCAGGCUCGCUCCUGCCAGUUUUCAGGGGGAGCGCUCCCGCGAGCUCCUUUUGCAGCCUUUUGGGUGGUUUUCAGCGGCGGGGGGAGUGCGGGGACCCGAGGAGGCUGCGGUGGGGUCUGCGGGUCCCCUCGAUGUGGUCUCCCCCAUCCGCUGGGGAUUUUGGCACCCCGGUGUGCAUGGCACCCGCUCCUGCCAGCCUCCUUUUUGCUGCGGGUGCACCGCGGGUGCUCCCGGCGGUGCAGGUGGUGGCCAGAGCUCCGUGAGCCCCAGCGCCACCGUGCCCGGGCUGUGGUUAUCCCACCCCGCUGCCCCCAGCCCUGGCUCUCAGCCCUUUCCCGCACGGUGUGA
rnacentral:lncRNA from 1 species